CAGGGGCUGAGACAGGUUACACAUUGAUGAGAGCCUCUGGCUGUGGGCCAGGCUCAGGCGGCCAGAGCAAGCCCACAGGGCAGGUCCCAGCUGCACUGCAAGCCUCUGCCCCACCAUCCCCAGCUCACAGCAAAGCAGACACCUGAAGGAGACGCUGCUCCCCAAAAGCAGCGCCCCAAAAGAUGCUGGGGCAGGCAUCAUGGGCAAGGCUGUCUCCUUCUGGCUCUGCCAUCCUGCUGCUGGUGCUCUGUGAGUUGGGGCAUUGCUGGGUGUGGGGGCUGAGGGCUGGAGGGCUGCUGCUGGGGGCAGGACAGGCCAGUGGUGGGCACAGGGGAGGAUGGGGACAGUGUGUGCAGGGCAGGAGUGCAGCACUGUGGGGCAGAGUUGCUUUGGGGAAAGAAGGAGAUCAUGACCCCUCUAAGCAAAGCUCUCUCUGCCCUAUGCUGCAGGUGCUGGAGGGACCACCCAGGACAUCUGCAGCUCUCCAGGAUUUCGGGAGCAUGGAGGUAACAACCAGGCUCCAGUCCUGUACGUCAAUGCUUCCAGUGCCCAAGAAGGGGAAACAGUUUUGGUUCAUUGUGUCAUUGAUUGGCAGUUUCCUGCUACGCGAGUUGUCUUCUGCAAGAAUGGGUUGGAGGAGUUCAGCCUGAAAGCCCAGCAGGGCAGGCUCAUCUACGCUCUGGUCCUGAACAUCACCUCCAGAAGUGCUGGGACGUAUACGUGUGGGUACCAGCAAAAGAACAAGAAAAACUGGGUGAGGAACUCAGCUCUCAGUGCUCCCUGGACCUUGUCUGUGGCAGGUGAGAAACGGCCCCAGAGUGGUGAGGGUAGAAGGUUUUGGAAAACUGCUGGGGCUGGAGCUGUGUGCUGCAGCAGGCAGGGCAUGGACUGGGGUGGUUCCCCCUCGGGAGUGUUCCCUCUCCUCAGAGGCAGCCCCUACAGAGAGAAAGCUGCUCUCAAGGGCUGUCCCUGUCCCUGCAGCAACACCUCGGCUGAGGCAUGGGGCUGUGCAGUGCCCAUGCAGAGAGAGCAAGAGCUGGGGAUGUUGAUGGACCCUGGGUUGAGCCCGGGAUAUUCCAAGAUCUGCCCUGUACAUUGAUGAGCCUAUGGCAGGGGAAGUGGUGUGAUUUUCAUGAGGCAGACUAUAGCCUGUACAUCAGCAACAGUGUGGGAUGGUUCCAGAAGGGAGAGCACAGUGGUGCUGGUUUGAGACACAGAAAGGUGCCUGCUCAGCAGGAACAAAAAGGAAGAAAAAGGACUCGGGUGUGGCGGUGUGCCAGGUCUUGGCCCCACUAAGAAAAACCCCUUUUGCCUCAAGGUGCAGGUAAUGGUGAGACCACCACUGAUAUCCACAGCUCCACAGGUGAGGACAAGUGUUAGGGUAUGCCAGCUGCAUGGGCACGUCCUGCUCCCUGCCUCUCCCCGUCACACCCCGCUGCCCUCACACCAUCUCUCCCCCAGCCCCAUAUCCCCGGAUCCUGCACACCCUCCCCACAGGCACGGUGCUGGCAGUGGCGGCCGUCGGCCUCGUCCUCCUGGCUGCAGGGAGCUGGUUUGCCAUCAGGAAAGGUGAGGGAGUGGGGGAAAGUGGGAGGAAAGGCUGAGGCCGUGGGGGUCCUCGUGGGGCUGGUGCAGUGGGAAAGGUGCUGG
rnacentral:lncRNA from 1 species